UUUCACCUUUAUUUUAUCUAUGAAGCGAAGUUCACAGAUUAGAUACAGUAAGCUUUGGGAGCCCAGUUCCAGCCAGAUCGACGAACUGCACCAACACACUCGUUAUCACCUGUGUCGGCGCGAUGUCUACCUUGAACCAUACUGGACAAGAAGCGUGAUGGCUUACUCUUUCUUCACUUUGAAUGUAGAAGAGAUAGAUAGAUAGAUAGACAGACGGAGAGAGAGAAAGAGAGAGACAAGUACAAUGUGCAAAGAUAGAAAGGAAUGCUUGCUCUGGUCGACGCGGGCGACGCAGAAGGGAUAAAGGCCGCCCUCGCCGUCCACUCGGCUGAUGCCCUCGAAGAAUUUGUCGACGAGUGUCCGCUGCACUUGGCCGCCCGGAGAGGCCGCGAAGAGGCGGUGGAGGCGCUGCUGGCCGAGGGAGCCGACCCCAAUGGCCAGGCCGCUUUUGG